CGAAACCGCCCAUAAUAGUCACAGUGUACACAUGCAGUGCGGAGAAUUGCGGUAUAAAAUGAAAGCUUACAUAAUUCUUUUAGUUUGCAGUCAAUUUGUUUGUUUAUAUUCACUUACACUGAGAGGAAUUGGACAUCAUGAAACAGGAUUGAGAAGAAUAAAUAGACUUGGUCAGAGGAAUCUAAGAGUGCAGAUGAAUUACGCACCAAGGAUCCACCGUAAUUGGAUGUCAUUGUGGGAAAUGUGUCUCCAAUUUGCUAUUAAAUACGGAUAUUUUCCAUAUAUCUGUUCCCAGUAUUGCCCUCAACCUAAUAUCAGGAAACCCACGUAUACAGUAAAAACAUAAUGAACGAAAGACAGAUGAAUAUUCAAUAUCAAUAAGUUUCAACAAUGAUUGAACCAGUUUGAUUGAAUUGUUUGUUUAUUAUAUCAACAGUUUUUAACUGUUUAUGAGAUUUUCAUUAAAAAAAAAUGCAAAGGCAUUUUUUUCUUUUCCUGAAAAAUAUGAAAGACGUACUAUUUAUA